GGGAGGAUUGAGAAGGUGUAGCAGCUUCACAAUGUGCUGUUAUUACUGGUUAAUAACCUCCUAAAUGAAAAUCAGGUCGACGUAGCAAACUGGCUUCAUGACACCUU